rnacentral:lncRNA from 1 species
CCAAACUCUUGCCCAAAUGAACAAUUGAAAUUCCUGUUGAGGUUUUGAAAAAUCUCCACCACCCCAUCAAGUGCCCUACUUUUCAUGCAGCCCAGCACUUCCAAACAGAGCCAGCAUGAGGAGCCCUGAGAUCCCUGUGGUCGGCCCUUUCCCAAGUAUUCCAAACCCACGCCUGGACCAAGAAGCUCCAGGAAUCUCAUCAGAAGCCUUGACUCCAGGAGGUUUCGAGUUAGAUUUCCAAACCAGAGAGGUUUGGAAAAGAGAAACUUGGCUGGGGCCAGACAAGAUGGUUCAGUUUAACAACCUAAUAAAUAUAUUG